ACAUACACACUCAUAGGAUUAACUCUAUAGUGUGGCUGACGAGUUUAAGUCCAAAACUCGGAACAAAUUCAACCAUAAUGAAGAGGAUGUGUGUCGUCCUCUGAACGGGGAACGGCUCUUAAGUACCGAGUUACUCCAGAGCAUUGAAGAGCGUUCCCUCAUGGUCUCGCCCUUGAGUGGAGGGGACGUCACAGGCUGAGUGGU